UUUGUUAUUGCGGGAAAAUAAAAUUUUUUAGCCACGUUAAUUUGCUAAGUGUAGACGCAAUAACAUUGCAGAUCAAAAAUUAAAUGCUAUCGUAAAUGUAAAUAUCUUUAAUUUUAAUUAAAAUAUUUUAAGUUUACACAAAAUAGUUUAGUUUUUAUUUGUUUCUUUUUUUCUUUCUUCUCCACAGGAAGAAACCAGAGAAGUCUUCAGAUUCAAUCAGCUUGGCUUCCUCAAAUUCUCAGAUUUGAUCUCUUGCCACCGUCGAUUGAAGCUUCACCACCACACUCCUUUUGACACCAUUGCUCUUUACCACCACCACCACCAGCUCGUCACCACCAUCGCCAUCUCUCUCUGAUUAGGGUUCAGAUUAGGGUUCCCAAGGUCGCUCCUGCUCCUCACACGGUUUCUGGGUUAGAGAUGGCGGCAUUGAUGAAGCGGCGGAGGAGGCUUCGGCGCAGAAGAAACGUGUUUCUCUUCACAGACAAGCCGCCGUUACGGUUGAGGCUGCUAAGGAUUACGCUCGGAGGUUUGAAUCUGGUGUCAAUGAGCUUUCCUCUCUAUCUAACGAUCAGGUUGGUGAGGAGUUGGCUCAGUCCGGCGUGAAUGUAAUGUGCAAAAUGUGCUUUUCGGGAGAAAGCCAAGGAAGUGAGAGAGCAAGGAGGAUGCUUUCUUGUAAAAUCUGUGGCAAGAAGUACAAUAAGAAUUGUGUAAAUCUUGGGCUCAACAUAUAGGUGCUUUCAUUUGAUUCGUUGCAGAUUUGUUUCAUUGGAGUUCAUGGAGUUGUCACUCGUGCCGUGUUUGUGAGAUUCCAAAUGGAUUGCUGCAAGAUUGCAAGAGUCUGCAAAAUCUUUCUCUGCAUAACAAUCCCAUUUCAAUGGAUGAGUUUCGGCUGAUGGAAGGGCUGGACCUUGAAGACUGUCCUGAAAAAGAGCCUCUUGGUCAUGGGUUCUAUGCAGACUUUACUAUGGCAACAAGGAUAACAAUACCAGAUUUCAUCACCGAGACUAUCGGUUAUAUUUUGCAAUGAGUUCAUGUGUUUCAUGUAUUUGAUUUUGUGUGUGUUUGAAUCAUUUUGGAAUCUAAAUUUUUUUUAACCCCUAAUCCCUAAAUAUAUUUUAACCCAUAAACCCUAAAUAUAAUCCUAAAAUCUAAAUUUUAAACUUUUAAACUUUAUAUAAAAAUACAAUUCAAUAUAAAUAUACUAAUUCAAACCGGACCCAUCUAGUACUCUAAAUCUAAUACCCUAAACCCUAAAAUUCAAACUUAAAUGAUAUUCUAAAUACUAAAUAAAAUCUCUAAAUAAUUUUUUUCAGAUUUUAAAUCCAAAAUUUAAACUUAAACUUUUAAUCUAAUUUUUUUAAAACUCCAUUCAAAAUAUUAAAUGUAAACCUUAAAUCUCCAUCAAAUUCUAUACCCUAAAUCCUAAAUCCUAACUUCAAACAUAAACAUAUACCACUAAAUAUAAACUUCCAAUAUAAAUUUUAAAAAUUUAACAAACUUCAAAUUUAAAUCUUAAUCACAAACUUUUAUAUACAACUCUAACUCUUACACUUUCAAAACUUUCAAUCCCUAAAUCAUAAUGAAUUGAUCUUUAAUCUACACUUUAUAUCUAAUACCCUAUACCCCAAACUUAAACUCUACAUACAAAAUCAUAAAUCCAAUCUUUACAAACUUAUAAUAGAAAUUUUAAAUUGAACUCUAAAUAUAUUCUAAAAUUCAAAUCAUAUACUUAAUCCUAAAUCUUCACCCUAAUUUCUAAACCACAUAUCUCAUUUUAACAUAUAUCAUAAAACAUCAAAUCUUCAUUUUUAAUAAAUUAUAAUUCUGUAAAUAAAUUAAAAUUUAAAAUACAAAAUUUAGAAUUCAAGUUUUCAAUUAUGAUAUCAAAGUAUUUAAAGCUUAAAUCAUUUGUAUAAUAGCUAUAAAUAAAUAAGAAGACAAUUUGUAUUGUUUUUUUAACCAUUGAUUGAUUUGAAUCAAAGGCUCAAAAUCACUCUUGUAUCUAUCCCCGCACUUUCUUCCUAUUGGUUUACUUGUUUAUGACAUGGAUCACCAUCUGCACCCUUGGAUGAUAUUGAAUCAACGCUUGAGAUUAAUUAUUCUUCUUUUCUUUGUUUGUUAAUUAUCUUUUCUGAUCUACGAGAGAAGAGAGAGAGAGAGAGAGAUGGAGUUCGUAGAUGAUAAAGGAGAAGUCGCCACGGCCGGUCGUCACCACCACCACCACCAUCGCUCGUUACCACCACCACCAUCGCCAUCUCUCCCAUCCCCAAUCGCUCGUUACCAUCACCACCAUCAUCAUCUCUCCCAUCCCCAAUCGCUCUUCACCACCACCAUCGCUUCUCAGAUCCGUCUUCACCACCGUCACGCUCGUCAUAACCACCACUGUUCACUUCUCUGUCUCUCACUCUAUGUCUCUGGUGGAGCAUACAGGACCAAGAGGGAUGACUCUGCCAAAACUAUGUCCUAGCGUUUGCAAGGUGGUGGUCGUGACUCAUGAGCAAGAGCUGAUGUUGUGCAGAGGAGAUGUCUCGAACUCGUCUCCCUCUAGACUCACACGAAUGUUGCAGUCUCUCACUGGAAUUGCCAAGUGCAGCCUUUGAAGGAUUAUACAGAUAAAACAUUGCUCUACGGCAGACUUGAAGACAAUCAUGCUUAAAUACUGGGGAAGCUUGAGAAGGUGGAAGAGACAGAUGAACCUCAAGGAAGGUUGAAGUGAAACAACGAGCUUGAGGAAGGCGGCGGCUUAGGUUUAGUUUUUAGGUUAAUGUGUUUUAAUUAGUUUUUGUUUAAUAUGUACUUGUUUAGUUUUGUAAAAUUGAUUGUAUUUGUAAACUGAUUUUAAUUAAUAAAUAAAAUUUCAUUUUUAA